rnacentral:lncRNA from 1 species
GCUAAAUGACUUAAAUGUAAAUGUAAAAUGUUCAAAGUUUCGGAUAUUUUUUUAUAACCCAAACCUGAUCUGUACUUCUCCACAACUUUGUCCCUGAGCUGUUUGAAGAGCUCCUUUGUCUUCAUGGUGCCGCUUGCUUGGUGGUGCCCCUUGCUUAGUGGUGUUGCAGACUCUGGGGCCUUUCAGAACAGGUGUAUAUAUAUCGAGAUCAUGUGACAGAUCAUGUGACACUUAGAUUGCACACAGGUGGACUUUAUUUAACUAAUUAUGUGACUUCUGAAGGUAAUUGGUUGCACCAGAUCUUAUUUAGGGGCUUCAUAGCAAAGGGGGUGCAUACAUAUGAACACACCACUUUUCAGUUUUUUAUUAUUUGAGAAUUUUUUUGAAACAAGUUAUUUUUUUUCAUUUCACUUCACCAAUUUGGCCUAUUUUGUCCAUUACAUGUCCAUUACAUGAAAUACAAAUAAAAAUCCAUUUAAAUUACAGGUUUUAAUGCAACAAAAUUGGAAAAACACCAAGGGGGAUGAAUACUUUUGCAAAGCACUGUAGGUAUUUUAACAUUAUAAUUUAUUUUUACACACAAACAUUUUUUGAGGGGGUUAAUUAAAUAUUUAAUCAGUCAUCUUCCUCAAAUGAACGGGAUGAUGACAAUCUUUGCGAGACGGAGGGAAUCUGAUUUCAUUGGUCCUCAACUCGAUAAAUGGAGUUAGCCUGCAUCGGAACAGGUUAGUUGUGAAGGAUUCGUUGCCAUAGAAAUUUACCUGGUUAAAAUGUGUGCCACUUUAAAUUAGAGUUGACCAAAGUCACCACUCUGGUUUUCUGACCCUAGAGGGCGGUGUAGACCUGUGCCUGAUAACAGAUAGACUACUGUGAAUCUACAGGCUUUAAUACGGCACACUGGUCAAAAGUAGUGCACCAUAUAAGAAAUAGGGUGCCAUUUGGGGGACAGUCUGAAUGUACAGAAUGAGAUGCUUUUAAGUCCUAUAUCUCUGUUCUUUAUGAAACUGCAUUCGGAUGACCUGUUAAUGCUUUAGAAAGACUGAUCAACAUGAUUCCUCAACAUGUCCUCAUUCUUAAAGGUGACUUUUCACUCUUAUUGUAGAAACCACAUCGUGUGUAGUAGUGUUACCGUAGAAGUACAUAUUUACAUUUACAUUUAACAUUUAAGUCAUUUAGCAGACGCUCUUAUCCAGAGCGACUUACAAAUUGGUGCAUUCACCUUAUAAUAUCCAGUGGAACAACCACUUUAC